CGUGCCCUUAUAUCUGUAAUCAAUUUAUAACCCUAAUCCCCUCAAUCGGGUGAGGCUCGUACCUCUGAAACCCUAGCCACCACCCAACUCUCAACCCCCAAAGAAAGAAACCCUAAACCGAUUCUUAUCGUCCAACCACCAUGGCCAAGAAGCGAAAGUCUCGUGCUUCACAACCUUCCGUGGAAGAACCAGUACCUAAGGAGGAGCCUCAAGAGCAGAUCAUUGAACCACAACAGCAACAGGAAACUAUCGCCAAUAAUGAUGUCGUUAAAGAGGAGGAGCUAGAGCAAGAAGCUGACGAAAUCGCUCAUAAUCUGGAGGAGAAUAAAGUAAAAGGUGAACAAGAAGAAGAAGAAGAAGGAGAAGAAGAGGAUGAAGAAGAUCCUCAGGACGAUGACGAAGAAGAAGAAAGCGAAGAGGAAGCCACCGUAAACGACGUCAAGGUCGAAACCAACGGCGAUGGAGGAGAAGAAACCGAGGAUUUGGAGGACGAACCCGUAGAGAACCUUCUCGAGCCGUUCUCAAAGGAACAAUUAGUCUUACUGCUCAAGGAGGCCGUUGCAAAGCACCCUGAUCUGAUUGAAAGCGUUCAGAAGAUCGCUGAUGCGGACCCUGCCCACAGGAAGAUAUUUGUGCAUGGUCUAGGUUGGGAUACCAACGCUGAGAUUCUAACGAGCGAGUUUGGCAAGUAUGGCGAGAUCGAAGAUUGUAAGGCUGUGGUAGAUAAGGUCACCGGAAAAUCUAAAGGCUAUGCUUUUAUACUCUUCAAACACAGGGCCGGAGCUCAGAAAGCUUUGAGGGAACCUCAGAAGAAGAUCGGGAACCGCAUGACCUCAUGUCAGUUGGCUUCUGCUGGUCCAAUCCCAGCCCCUCCACCAACAGUCCCUCCGGUGUCAGAGUACACUCAAAGGAAAAUAUUUGUGAGCAAUGUUUCUGCGGAGAUCGAUCCUCAGAAGCUUUUAGAGUUCUUUUCUAAAUAUGGAGAGGUUGAGGAUGGGCCAUUGGGAUUAGAUAAGCAGACUGGAAAGCCUAGAGGGUUUGCUCUCUUCGUCUAUAAGAGUGUGGAAAGUGCAAAAAAGGCUCUGGAAGAGCCCCACAAGGUCUUUGAAGGGCACAAUUUGAAUUGCCAAAAGGCUGUUGAUGGUCCGAAGCCAAACAAGCCUUACUUUCAACAACAACAUCAGCAUCACAACCACCAUCAACAUCACAACCAGCAUCAGCAUCAACAGUAUGGUGGUGGUGGUGGUGGUCAUCAUUACCCUUCAAAAAAGGGCAAGUACAACAACUCAGGUGGCGGUGGUGGUGGUGGUGGUGCAGGACAGGGUCAUUUGAUGGCACCUUCUGGACCGUCAGUGGGUGGUUACAACCCUGCUGUUCCUCCGGCAUUGACUCCUGCUUUGGGGCAGGCGUUGACUGCACUUCUUGCGACUCAGGGAGCUGGACUCGGGAAUCUUUUAGGACUUGGUGGACCUCCGCAGGGGAUGCCGCCACCGAUGAACAAUCCUGGAUAUGGAAACCAGGCAGGUGGGAGCUACGGUGGUCAACCAGGGAUGCAGGGUGGUUACCCUAAUCCACAGCUUGGUCAAGGAGGCAACAGGCCCCCACAAGGUGGUGCACCUUACAUGGGCCAUGGUCACUAGCUUGGCCUUCAAAUUCAACUGGUGAAUUAAAUCAGUUUAUGCAAAGGCAAAGAAGGUGAAGCACCUGAGACCUCAUUUAUGGAUUUCAGUUUUGAUGUACAUGGCAUGGCAUUGGCAGCAGAAUAUCUGUAUCUGUAGCUGAAGAAAGGUUAAUAUUUGGAGCCUUACACUUUGAAGACUACUGAAAAGAGGCCUACACCACCGCUGCUGAAAACAGGCGGCUAGCGGCUGGGUAAUCAACGGUGGAAAAGGGAUGCCAUGGGAAGGAGAUGGUCGGCAAGAAAAAAGGUUGAAGGUUGGUUAAUAUAGUAUUUAUGGUAGGUGAUGUAAUUUUGAACGUAUGUAAUUUGUCAUUGUCAUGUCAAAAACGCUUGUCUUGUGUGGGAAUGGAAGACUAAUAAUAAUAACAUAUUUUUCUGAA